rnacentral:rRNA from 1 species
UACGAAGGGGCUAGCGUUGCUCGGAAAUCACUGGGGCGUAAAGGGUGCGUAGGCGGGUUUUAAGUCAGGGGUGAAAUCCUGGAGCUCAACUCCAGAACUGCCUUUGAUACUGAAGAUCUUGAGUCCGGGAGAGGUGAGUGGAACUGCGAGUGUAGAGGUGAAAUUCGUAGAUAUUCGCAAGAACACCAGUGGCGAAGGCGGCUCACUGGCCCGGUACUGACGCUGAGGCACGAAAGCGUGGGGAGCAAACAGGG